UUUUCUUGAUGUUGCUAAGUAUAGCUUUGUUCGCGGCUUCUGCCUGUCCGUUACCUUGUGGGUAACGGGGGGUGGAUGUGGUAAGACGGAUCUUCCACUUGUCGCAAAAUGCUUUGAUUUUUCCCGAGUUAAGGUUAGUCCCGUUAUCAGUGACAAUCUCAUAAGGUAUGCCGUGUCGGCAUACGAUGUUUUCCCAUAGGAAGUCCUCGACUUGUUUCUCGAUUACCUGUUGGAAGGCUUUAGCCUCAAUCCAUUUGGUAGAAUAGUCGGUGAGGACCAGCAGGUUUUUUAGUCUCUUCU
rnacentral:sRNA from 1 species